UAUCCGGAACUGUUGACCAGCGCCUGCCGCAGCUUCCGGGAGCGAAAGAGUUCCGGUUUUGUCACCGACGACGGGCACGACCUCUCUCUACCUUACGUGGUUCUGCACAUGACCUUCGCUGGCUGGCCGCUUAGUAGCGCUACGCUGGAGAGCCCAUUGCAGCUGUGGUCGGUGGUGCAGCAGGUGGCGCUCACCCUGGCCGUGGCGGAAGAGGCGCUCGAGUUCGAGCACCGAUCCCUGAGCGAAGACCACGUGCUCGUCAAGAAGGCGCACCACGACGUGCUCUCCUACAGGCUCAACGGGCGCGUGCUGCACGUGAACACU
rnacentral:lncRNA from 1 species